rnacentral:tRNA from 1 species
AAGGGUGGUAAUAAAUUUCACUUACAAUGAAAAAGAUCUUAUGGACACCCUUA